rnacentral:rRNA from 1 species
UGCAAGUCGAACGAACCUAAUCUUCGGAAAAGGUUAGUGGCGCACGGGUGAGUAACACGUAGGUGACCUGCCCUGGAGUGGGGGAUAACUUCUCGAAAGAGAAGCUAAUACCGCAUAUGCUCGGUCAUUCGGUUGAUCGAGUAAAGCUCCGGCGCUCCAGGAGGGGCCUGCGUCCGAUUAGCUAGUUGGUGGGGUAAUGGCCUACCAAGGCGAUGAUCGGUAGCUGGUCUGAGAGGACGAUCAGCCACACUGGCACUGACACACGGGCCAGACUCCUACGGGAGGCAGCAGUGAGGAAUAUUGGUCAAUGGGCGAAAGCCUGAACCAGCAACGCCGCGUGAGGGAUGAAGGCCUUCGGGUCGUAAACCUCUUUUCUGGGAGAAGAGACAAGGACGGUAUCCCAGGAAUAAGUCUCGGCUAACUACGUGCCAGCAGCCGCGGUAAAACGUAGGAGGCAAGCGUUAUCCGGAUUUACUGGGCGUAAAGCGCACGCAGGCGGCUGCGUAAGUCGGACGUGAAAGCUCCUGGCUCAACUGGGAGAGGUCGUUCGAAACUGCGCGGCUUGAGGUUGGAAGAGGAGAGCGGAAUUCCCGGUGUAGUGGUGGAAUGCGUAGAUAUCGGGGGGAACACCAGUGGCGAAAGCGGCUCUCUGGUCCACACCUGACGCUCAGGUGCGAAAGCGUGGGUAGCGAACGGGAUUAGAUACCCCGGUAGUCCACGCUGUAAACGAUGCGAACUAGGUGUUGGUAGUAUUAAACCUAUCAGUGCCGAAGCUAACGCGAUAAGUUCGCCGCCUGGGGACUACGGCCGCAAGGCU